rnacentral:rRNA from 1 species
CCUACGGGAGGCUGCAGUGGGGAAUAUUGCACAAUGGGGGAAACCCUGAUGCAGCGACGCCGCGUGAGUGAAGAAGUAAUUCGUUAUGUAAAGCUCUAUCAGCAGGGAAGAAAAUGACGGUACCUGAGUAAGAAGCCCCGGCUAACUACGUGCCAGAAGCCGCGGUAAUACGUAGGGGGCAAGCGUAAUCCGGAUUUACUGGGGGUAAAGGGAGCGUAGACGGCAGUGCAAGUCUGGAGUGAAAGGCGGGGGCUCAACCCCCGGACUGCGCUGGAAACUGGACGGCUGGAGUGCAGGAGAGGUAAGUGGAAUUCCUAGUGUAGCGGUGAAAUGCGUAGAUAUUAGGAGGAACUCCAGUGGCGAAGGCGGCUUACUGGACUGUAACUGACGUUGAGGCUCGAAAGCGUGGGGAGCGAACAGGAUUAGAUACCCGGGUAGUC